AUGAACGCUGGCGGCAUGCCUAACACAUGCAAGUCGAACGAAGCCUUCGAGCUUAGUGGCGCACGGGUGCGUAACGCGUGGGAAUCUGCCCUUAGGUACGGAAUAACUCAGGGAAACUUGUGCUAAUACCGUAUGAUGUCGCGAGACCAAAGCUUUAUCGCCUAGGGAUGAGCCCGCGUUGGAUUAGCUAGUUGGUGAGGUAAAGGCUCACCAAGGCGACGCUCCAUAGCUGGUCUGAGAGGAUGAUCAGCCACACUGGGACUGAGACACGGCCCAGACUCCUACGGGAGGCAGCAGUGGGGAAAAUUGAACAAUGGGCGAAAGCCUGAACGAGCAAAGCCGCGUGAGUGAAGAAGGCCUUCGGGUUGUAAAGCUCUUUUACCCGGGAAGAUAAUGACUGUACCGGGAGAAUAAGCCCCGGCUAACUCCGUGCCAGCCGCCGCGGUAA
rnacentral:rRNA from 1 species